UUUCUAAAAAGAAUAUUUUUAUGACAUUACCUAACUAUGAUACUAGCAUAUAUGCGAGGAUUUCAUUAGCUAGAGCGUCCAAGUUGCCAAUUCUAAUGAACCUGACUAGAAUUAGACUUACUUAUGAUAUUUAUGGAGAUGGGAUAAAGGUAUAUGAAAUACAAGAGUAAAUCUUUAUCGUACUAAUUCAUUGUUUACUUCUUCGGCACUUCGCUUUUGGCAGCUUUAGUUAUAACUACCAAAGGAAAUGAGCCCGUGGUAGUGAAGUAAGCACCUAACGGCAUAUUUUAGUGUCCAGAACACUUCAUCAUCCUUGUGUCCAGCCAUUGAUUUUACAUAAUUACACAGCAAAAUCUUAGCUUACAUAAUCAUGUGAGCAUUAACUUGAUGCAGUGAAAGUUUUCACUUUAUUAGUGGUAUUUAACCUUGUAUAUCGCCAAGAAGGGACAAGCUCUAUUACUCUUGUGGUAUAUUUUUGUUUAUUUUUUAUAGCCAGGAGAAGAGAAGAAGGAUCAGCCCAGAAAACCUAUUCACAAUACAUACUAAACCUUAAGUAUCGAGCCAUAGGUAAUGAUAAAUACAAGAAGAAUCGAAUGUAUAUCACAUGGCCAAUCCCAAAGGUAAUGAUAAAUACAAGAAGGUAAUGAUUAGGUAGGAUUCUCAACUACCAUUCAACAAAGGGGAUAUCAUUGAACUUGCCCCAAUUCAAUAACAAAUCAUCACAUUAAUCCAAUUAUGAUAAUUCAGCAAAUGGCAAAUAGGAUAUCAGCCACAACAGGAUAGUCUUCACUUAUCAAAUUCAAGCGAAGACUUGAAAGACAUGGUGGCUUACUAUCUAUAGCUUAUGCAUUUUUGUUGAGUACUGUUGUUUUUAUUUCUUAUCUAAACAGCACUUGACCGUCCAUAAGCACAGUUUCCACAAAAGUUAAAAACAAAACAACAGCCAAGAAAGAAUAACUAUUAUAGCAAUCGGAAAAAAGGCCUCAGAAUUGCAGAAAUUAACAGCAAGGACUUAUGGGCCAUUCAGUCCCGAAAGAUGGUGUUUUUAAAUAUACAUCUCAUCAUAGGCCAAUUUAAACAAAAGCAAAUACACAUUGUUAGAAUAUAUUUCUCAUGGCCAAUCCCAAGAGAUAAUAGCAGAGACUCUGCUCAACAAGGCCAUAGGAUAUGAGAACGCCCUCUUCGGAUUAAAUAAUCAACAAAAAGGCUUGCUUUUGUGAUGAUUUUACACACAUAUGGGUCAUACAAGCAUAGCAAUAAAACUCGCCCCAUUUAAAAAUGAACCAUCACAACACCAAAAAAUCAUACUAGUAUAAAAAGAAGAGUGUGAAAUGAAAUUAGUAGACAAGUACCAUUAUAAAAAAAAGGAACCCACCUGUGGAUUCAUCUCAGCGGUUGUCUGGCCGCCGCUGAUUUAAAUCAGCAUUCCCUUUUUGCACUUUCACUCAAGGCUCCGCUAUUUCAAUAUUUUUAGCGUAGCCUUUGAAUAAACGUGUGCAGAAAAAACGAUGGGAGUAUUGAGGACUACGGUAGUUAACUAGUUACUGGUUUGUCUGGGCAAAAAAGAAAGGAUUUUGAUUUGGGACUACGGGCGGAUAACCCCAGAUUGGGC
rnacentral:lncRNA from 1 species